CACGAGUCGGAGUGUAUGCUAUUUCCCGUGAGGGAAAGGUGAAAAAUACUCUGAAGAGAGAGUAAAUAGCACGUGAAGCCGGUUACAGGGAAGCUGGUGGAGUCAAGCUUCAUGCUUGAGAAAUUUGUGCAAGUAACUUUGUGUUCAUUGUAUGCAUGGUCGGUCAACUUGGAAUAAGUUGGGUGCAUUCGUGUACUUCAAGUCAUUCUGGGUAGUGUGUUUGGGCCGAUCAUGUACUACUGUUGCUUGUACCCUAUUUCUCGUUGCAUAAAUCAGGGUCUAUAGCCUUGUUUGUUGACGUGCUGUAUGAUCGUCUAACUGUGCUAUGGCUGACUUUGUGUUUGUCUGGUACAGGAUGGCAGGUUGAGGCUUCAGUCCUUGUGAUUGUUAGUCUCUUAUAGUGGUUUUGACCAGCCGAUGUUCAUGCAGUAUCGUGGCUAUAGUUGUUCCGUUGGUACACAGUUCUCAUCAACUGUGUAUCAGUAAGAACCCUGAUUCUGAGGUAGA
rnacentral:rRNA from 1 species